rnacentral:rRNA from 1 species
GACGAACGCUGGUGGCGUGCUUAACACAUGCAAGUCGAACGGAAAGGCCCUGCUUUUGUGGGGUGCUCGAGUGGCGAACGGGUGAGUAACACGUGAGUAACCUGCCCUUGACUUUGGGAUAACUUCAGGAAACUGGGGCUAAUACCGGAUAGGAGCUCCUGCUGCAUGGUGGGGGUUGGAAAGUUUCGGCGGUUGGGGAUGGACUCGCGGCUUAUCAGCUUGUUGGUGGGGUAGUGGCUUACCAAGGCUUUGACGGGUAGCCGGCCUGAGAGGGUGACCGGCCACAUUGGGACUGAGAUACGGCCCAGACGCCUACGGGAGGCAGCAGUGGGGAAUAUUGCACAAUGGGCGGAAGCCUGAUGCAGCAACGCCGCGUGCGGGAUGACGGCCUUCGGGUUGUAAACCGCUUUCGCCUGUGACGAAGCGUGAGUGACGGUAAUGGGUAAAGAAGCACCGGCUAACUACGCG